rnacentral:rRNA from 1 species
UGCAAGUCGAACGCACCUUCGGGUGAGUGGCGGACGGGUGAGUAACACGUGGGAACGUGCCCUUUGGUUCGGAAUAAUCCGGGGAAACCUGGCCUAAUACCGAAUGUGCCCUUCGGGGGAAAGAUUUAUCGCCAUUGGAGCGGCCCGCGUCUGAUUAGCUAGUUGGUGGGGUAAAGGCCCACCAAGGCUACGAUCAGUAGCUGGUCUGAGAGGAUGAUCAGCCACACUGGGACUGAGACACGGCCCAGACUCCUACGGGAGGCAGCAGUAGGGAAUCUUGCGCAAUGGGCGAAAGCCUGACGCAGCCAUGCCGCGUGAAUGAUGAAGGUCUUAGGAUUGUAAAAUUCUUUCAGCGGGGAAGAUAAUGACGGUACCCGCAGAAGAAGCUCCGGCUAACUUCGUGCCAGCAGCCGCGGUAAUACGAAGGGGGCUAGCGUUGCUCGGAAUUACUGGGCGUAAAGGGCGCGUAGGCGGGUGUUUAAGUCAGAGGUUAAAUCCCAGAGCUCAACUCUGGAACUGCCUUUGAUACUGGACACCUAGAGUACGGGAGAGGUGUGUGGAACUCCGAGUGUAGAGGUGAAAUUCGUAGAUAUUCGGAAGA